rnacentral:rRNA from 1 species
AUCACUGGUGUUCGGGUUGUCAUGCCAAUGGCAUUGCCCGGUAGCUAAAUUCGGAAGAGAUAACCGCUGAAAGCAUCUAAGCGGGAAACUUGCCUCGAGAUGAGUCUUCCCUGGGGCUUUAAGCCCCCUGAAGGAACGUUAAAGACUAUGACGUUGAUAGGCUGGGUGUGUAAGUGCAGCGAUGCAUUGAGCUAACCAGUACUAAUGAUCCGUGAGGCUUAACCUUACAACACCGAAGGUGUUU